UUGCUCGAUCUUACAUUUUGAAAUUUAUCUUUUUCAUUUAGUUCAGAACAAUCUCUGAUAAAAUAAUCUCGUGAACCACAACUUUAACAAGCUCUAUUAUUAGCUUUUAUCCAGCACUCUCCAAAAUGUCAUCUUCCAUAAUGUUGACACUCAGGUUUAACAUCUUUCACAUUGCCAACACUUGAUACUGAUGUAGUUUGAACUUUAGGGCUGGUGAAUUGCUUUCCACGAUCUGUAUUAGCA
rnacentral:lncRNA from 1 species